AACCGCCUUCGGGCGGGGAGGAGUGGCGAACGGGUGAGUAACACGUGGGCAAUCUGCCCUGCACUCUGGGAUAACUCCGGGAAACCGGAGCUAAUACCGGAUACGACCUUCCAGGGCAUCCUGGGGGGUGGAAAGCUCCGGCGGUGCAGGAUGAGCCCGCGGCCUAUCAGCUGGUUGGUGGGGUGACGGCCCACCAAGGCGACGACGGGUAGCCGGCCUGAGAGGGCGACCGGCCACACUGGGACUGAGACACGGCCCAGACUCCUACGGGAGGCAGCAGUGGGGAAUAUUGCACAAUGGGCGCAAGCCUGAUGCAGCGACGCCGCGUGAGGGAUGACGGCCUUCGGGUUGUAAACCUCUUUCAGCAGGGAAGAAGCGCAAGUGACGGUACCUGCAGAAGAAGCACCGGCUAACUACGUGCCAGCAGCCGCGGUAAUACGUAGGGUGCGAGCGUUGUCCGGAAUUAUUGGGCGUAAAGAGCUCGUAGGCGGCCUGUCGCGUCGGAUGUGAAAGCCCGGGGCUUAACCCCGGGUCUGCAUUCGAUACGGGCAGGCUAGAGUUCGGUAGGGGAGAUCGGAAUUCCUGGUGUAGCGGUGAAAUGCGCAGAUAUCAGGAGGAACACCGGUGGCGAAGGCGGAUCUCUGGGCCGAUACUGACGCUGAGGAGCGAAAGCGUGGGGAGCGAACAGGAUUAGAUACCCUGGUAGUCCACGCCGUAAACGUUGGGCACUAGGUGUGGGCGGCAUUCCACGUCGUCCGUGCCGCAG
rnacentral:rRNA from 1 species